UAACUUACCUGGCGCUGGGUUUAGGGUAAUUGAGAAUGCCUUGACCCCGAGUAGAGGCUCACCAUUGUACGACGGUGGGUUGAAACUCGCGACGUACCCUAAUCGGAUGCGCUCGGGCGUGUAGUUUUGGCAGUUGGAAGGCCUCCCGGUCCUCCCUU
rnacentral:snRNA from 1 species